CUCAUUCCAGCGCAACAAGAGGAGAUGUGUAAUAUUUCAAUUAAGUUCUAUCAUUUUUAUCUGUUCAAUAUACCAUCUCUCCCAAAGUGCUUUAAAGUUGCACUUUGUAUUAGUUUUUAAGCUGGCCUAUAUAUAUGUGUGUGUGUGUGUGUGUGUGUGUGUGUAUUCUGCAAGCAAAAGUGUUCAAAAACAUGGGGGGUGCUAGGAUAAAGAUAAAUUGAGUAUUUGGCUGGUCAUGGGAUCUCAGCAUGAUCUCAACAAUUUUGACAACGAUAAGGCUGUCUUUGGAUUCCGGAAUUUCCUGAGUGUUGUGAUAUCAAUUGUGCUGCUCUUUGUAUUCUUCAAAUUCUACCUUCACAAAAGAAAGCGUGAUGGAGAAGAUGGAGAAGAUGAAGAUUGUAAUUAUGUGAAUGUUCCUAUGCAUGUACACAGAAUGGAGACAAAACAACAGACCGGGGGGUGAACAUGAAUGGCUGCAGUUUUAUGGACAAAUACUGUGUUAAAAUUAAAACCAGUAUAUCAUCAGAAUAGAUGACUGCAUAUCCAGAGGAAGCACAACUUUUGGACAUUCUUUACAGUGACCACAAAAAGUAUUUUUAUGCUUAAGUCACAUUUGAAAAUUUCCAGUUUGUUAACACAUAAAUAAAUAAAUAAAUAAAUAAAUAAAAUAAUAGUUAUCUUUAAAUGUGAUUAAAUGCAUUCAAAUACUCUUUGGGGACAGAAGAGAGAACGCGUGUAAAUGUACCUUUUCUGUCAGCAGUUAAUGUUAAAGUUUUGUUUAAAUUAAUUGUUUGUCACAAGCUUGCUUUACAGUAUUAUGUAAACAAAUGAUUGGACCAUAAAUGCAAAGCAGUACAGCACUGAGGUUUAAAUAUCAGGACAUCUUCGCUUGUCUAAAGAUGUGUUAUGGACUGACACAAGUACAGGAAUUAAGAGCCUAUGGAUGCAGACAAGACAUUACAACCUUAUUCCACAUAAAUGUUUACAACAGUUCUGAAGUAAUACUAAUUACUUACUUUUAUUAGUUCAGUAGUGAAUAUAUUCAAAAUUGGAAUUGCAAAAAAUUAAUAGAUUACCAUGCAUCAUUUACUAAAUUAUUUGCCAUGCAUCAUUUCAUAUAGACCUGCAUUAUUUGUUUUCUUUCAUGUAACAAAAAUGUAGAUGUCAGAGUGUCUAAUAAUAUAAUUGGAUUAGAAAAAAAUUAUUUUAAAAAAAAUGUUUUUUCUUUUAUUUAUUUUAUUUUUUUUCAAAAUGUGCAUGCCUGUAUCUAGAAGUAAUAAUUGUAUCUUAAUAUCUGUUUAGAUUUUGGUACUUAAACUUUUCUUUGGUAUUUUCAUUCUAAAGGCUCUAUAUGGUUUGUUUCCAGAGAUACGAGGUUCUCAGUGUGGCUCCAUGAGUAAACUUAA